rnacentral:tRNA from 1 species
AGUCCUGUAGCUCAACGGUGGAGCAUCUGUCUUACAAACAGUGGGUUGCGGGUUCAAAUCCUGCCAGGACUA